AUUUGCCAGGUCCGGAGGUAUAUGCUGGUGAUGCAAAGUUGAGUAAGAUGUGGGCCUUGCCCUCGGAUCAUUCAGACUGCAGCUUGGAGGAAAUGUCUGCUCUAGACACAAGUGGAAGCUGCAUACAUCAUGCCAACUCAGAAGAGAACAAAGGAAUUUGUCAAGAGAUAAUGUCAGACUCUUCAGACGCAUUCCAAUUGAUUAUUGCAUUUGGAAGAUUUCUAGACAUUUGUUGAUCUAAAGAAGGAUUUUCAAUAAUGAAGAUCUUUAAAACGGCCAGAGUAAUCUUUUUCAAAAAGUGAAGUAAUAAACUGGUUGAUCAGAACUGCUCCAAAUAAACUGAAACAUCCCCGGAAAAAUUCUGAAGAGCAUGUAGGAUCAGACAAGAAUCAAUAAACUCUGUACAAUCAAAAUGUGUGUAGUGCUGUUUACAACCUCCAGCAGGAUCCAGAAGAAAGAACGCCAGCUGAGCCUCCAUUGACUGCACACCAAACAGGUGUGAGUUCCUGCACUGUUGACGGCAUAGCGUUUUUCUACUGUUCGAGGUGCUUCUUCCCGAUCACGGUAAUUUUAUAUCCAGCCGCUGCUGGAGUCGUGCCAGUCUUGCUCCUUAAUUAUUCAAUCACGUUCUUAACAAUUCAUGUUACAAAAACUCACGCCACAGGAGAAAUGCCUGUACAAAUUCUUCAGUCUAGGAGGCAGGUGAGGACCCCACCAUCUAGGCUUCAUCUGCUUAAGCUGCCGGCUCAGCAGAUAAUACAGCAGAUGGUUAGGAAGGCAGGCUUGAAGAUCGCUCUACCUCUGUUCAAAUUCCAGCUCCUGUACUUGCGAGCUGUGCUCUCUGAGGCAAGUUAUGGGAAUUCUUUAUGCCUUAAUUUCUUCAUCUGUAAAAUGGUGGUGAUGGUGAUACUAUUACCCCUGCAACAGUAUUGUGGAAAUCAGACCAGAGUUAUGGAUCCACAUAUGUAGAGCAUGGGCCAUCCUUAGCAUGCAGUCCUCAAACACUGGAGAGGGCGUUUCUACUCUCGGCUGUCUGGAUGGCCAUUUCUUAACAUAGGCUUCUUUGCUUCUGUUGUUCCCUCUAAUAAGCAUGCUAUUUCAUUCAUGUUGUUUCAUCCUGCUCAAAUUUAUCUACUCCCAUACGUCUUUUCUGAUACAUGUCUUUUAUGAGCUUUUUAAAUGGAUGGAACUUCCUUCCCUUUGUGUCUGUUGUACAUCCUUUCCUCCGGAGACUUAAGUGAAAACCAUUCAAGUGAUUGAUUAUAUAUGCAUAAUGUACACAUAUAUUUAUAUUUGUGUCAAAGCUGUCAUUUGUGGCGCCUGCAGGUGCUAUAGAAAACCUGAAAUCCAGGACUGUUCCUAUAUGCCUUGUGAUUUUGCUAGACGUGCGUGUUCCGGUUCGUGAUAUGUAAUUAUGUUUGUGGACAGGUUACCCAGUCUUCAGAGACUUUUAAUGCCAGGAAACAAACUGAGGGCUGCUGGUGGGGGUGGGACAGAUGGGGUGGCUGGGUGAUGGACACUGGGGUGGGUAUGUGCUGUGGUGAGUGCUGUGAAUUGUGUAAGAAUGAUGAAUCACAGACCUGUACCCUUGAAACAAAUAAUACAUUAUACGUGAAUUUAAUUAAUUAAUUAAUUAAAAGGGAAAAAAGUACAGGAAAAAUGCUAUAUAAACUCACACCGUGGGAAAAAAAAUCUCUUUAUGCAAAUAAAUAAAUAAAUAAAUAAAUAAGGAUCUUUUAAACCCAAACCAGUGUUAAUGCCAUGUUGAUACCAUCGUGGUACCCUUACUUGAUGCUUCUUUUGAUAGGUUUUGCCAUCCUAUUUUCUAAAAUGAAUGUAGGGGUGCCUGGGUGGCAGUGAGUUAAAGCGUCUGCCUUUGGCUUAGGUCAUAAUCUCAGGGUCCUGAGAUUGAGCCCUGCAUUGGGCUUUCUGCUCCACAGGGAGCCUGCAUCUUCCUCUCUCUCUCUCUCUCUGCCUGCCUCUCUGCCUACUUGUGAUCUGCCAAAUAAAUAAAUAAAAUCUUUAAAAAAAAAUAAAGUGAAUGCAAUAACUGAGCCAAAUCACUACAGAGAAUGGUUUACAAAUACAUUUUAUUUGGAAAAAAAAAAAUGAAGACUUAAAGAAAACCUCAAACCUCCACCCACCCAGUCAAAGCCUUGGUUCUAGCAUUUUGCAUCCUGCAUGGUGUUCAAAAGAAUAUUUCUUGAUGGAGGGGAUGAGGUGAAGGAGUCAGCUUCCCCAUUGCAAGGAAUGUGUGUGUGUGUAAAUAAUAUAUAUAAUAUAAAUAUAUAAUUAUAUUAUAUAUAAAUAUAUGUACAUAUAUUUAUAAAUCCCCCUUUUUUCUGCUUAUCAUAAUCAUUUUUAAUUUACUACUUUAACAUGCAGCAACACUUCACAUUCUAUUUUGGAGUGAUGAGAGACCAGUCAGAGUAGAGAAGGAGGAGAGAGGCUUCUCUAUUUUGCACUGUGGUCCUUUGAUAAGGACACUUCAGGGUUUACUCAAUUAAGGGGUCAUCAGGUGAUUCCGGACCUGCUGCUGAAAAACGAUGAGAUAAUACUUAGAAAUAUGUGUCUCUGUUUAUCUCUGUAACCACAGGUAUGUGCCUGAGUUUCUCAACAAAUGGCUAAUUAUCUCUGCAUUUUCAGUGGUCUAGCGGCCGAUACUGAAAGCCCCAGAAUAAACAAGCUUCACUGUAGGACCCAUCUGGACUCUUUGCCAUUCAUGUGGGUGAUACUAGUUAUAGAAAUCGGUUUCUCAGAGCCUAUGCAAACCUCCUGAUUUUGUUUCAAAUUUACUUUCUUCCCCAUGACAUCAUUUGGAGAUAGCCAAAUAGCCAACCUUAUUUUCUUUUGUACUUGUCCAAACUAUAAGCUGGAUAACUUUUCUCAGCAUACAUUUGCAUUUUCUACAAAUGUCAUUUCAAAUAAUAUUUAAACUCUAUGGUUAUUAAUGUUUUAUAGCACCUGAUGCAAUCUAAGGGGUUUAAAAAGUGAGGGGAAUUUUCCUCUGCAAGAGAUUUAUUUUGUUUUAACUAGGGAGCCCAGGAUUCAAGUCAAGGUAUCAAAGGUGUUGUUUGACACUGUUGGGAUGGUCAUUACUUACAUUUACAGAUUUCAAAGUAGAGUUAAUUCUUCACAGAAUCUUGUUUUUGUUGUAAUAAUUUCAAAUUUAAGCAAUUAAUAUUACUAUUUAGACUUGUGUAGGAUUGCUCUGUAAGCAUAUAAUUUUUAUAUUUGUUGACAUAUAAUUAUUUUAUAUGUGCAUACUGGGUCAAUGGAGCUAAAUAAUUUUAACCAUGUUGAACUAUAUGUACAUGUAUUCAUAUAAAUUUAAUAAAAUAUAAUUUUUUUAAAGAUUUUAUUUAAUUAUUUGACAGAGAUCACAAGUAGGUGAAGAGUUAGGCAGAGAGAGAGAGAGGAAGAAGUAGGCUCCCCGCUAAGCAGAGAGCCCGAUUCGGGGCUUGAUCCCAGGACCCUGGGAUCAUGACCUGAGCCAAAGGCAGAGGCUUUAACCCACUGAGCCACCCAGGUGACCUUAAAUAUAAUUUUUAAAUGCGUGAUUUUAUAUAAAAUUAUUUUGUAUAGUUCAUGCAUUUUAUUUUAUUGUAGCAGAUGAUAUAUAAAUAUAGAUAUAUAGAUGUAAAUAUAUAUUGAAUAGAUUUUCCAUAGUCUAGUGCUUUUUAUGCCUUUGAAGUUGUGAGAAUUUAGUAUUUAUUCAUGAGCUAUAGUCUAGAAGCUAUUAAGAAAAUAUAAGAAAUUUUAAGAACAACGUUUUUUAUCCUAGAGGUUUUCCUAUUGUAUUUAAACUUUGCUUUUAAUGCACAUUCUUAUUCUUUUCUUUGUAGGACAUAGUGGUUUCCUAUUAAGUAAAUUGCCAUUGGUCUUACUAAAGGGAUUCAUCCUAAAAUAUGCCCAUGGAGAGCUACCAUGAGACAGGGUCCUAAGAGUUGAUCUUGAUGUUUAGGUCUUCUCCCAGUGCUGUGGAAGAAUGCAUAGCUACAGAAAAAAAAAAAAAAAUCAAAUUAUAGGUGUCAUGGAAAACAAGAGCAUUGAAGUGAAUCUAAACUCAUCUGAAGGGAAAAGCAAAUCCAUGAAUUCGAAGAAAAAUCAUGUCGUGUAAGGCUGUGGAGAUGAGAAGCAUACUGGAUUGUGGAAUUCAAGGUGGGUUAGGACUGGUGUCCUAAGACAAUGCCAGGGCGUUAGAAGUUCAUUCUUGCGUGGCCUAAGUGUCCAGCACUGCACCAGGUAGACUUAGUCACUUUAGCCAUUUACAAGGAAUGUGUGUGAUAAAGAAAUUGAUGGCUACCUUUGCAAAAUUUGCUAACUUCGAACAGGAGUUCUAAUUUAAUUUUUGAUGACUGUUUUUAAUAGCAACUAACUUUUUAUGCCUUCAGUUACUGCCUCUGUUCUUUUCUAAAUAGUUGCCAAAAGUCUACUUCUUUAGCCACAGAACCUGUCCCAUUUCCAAAUAACCAAUGUAAACAUUUUCUGUUGGAUAUCAUUUGUUACCUCAAAAUAACAGAUCUGAAUCUGUAUUUACUGUCUUCCCCUGAGCUGGAUUUUCCAUGUAAUAUGGUUUUAUUGUGACAUCCAUAGACUCCAUGUACCCGUUCUCCAAAAGUUUAAUUUUGCUUUUAUUUUCGCCUUCGUUUAAACUUAGACCUUGAGUUAAGUUGGGGAGCUGAUGUAAGCAAGACAAAGAUUAAUUGACUGGACAUAUUACCUGUUCUAUUUUUGUAUACUUCCAGCUUACGUACGGCAUUUAUAUGAAUAAGAAGCAGUUGGGCCUAAGCCUCCUUCAUGGCCUUGGGGGAAUCUCCUAUAAUGGUUUCUAGGAUUUUAUAUAGGAGAUUAUACUUUCACUAAUAGUAGAAAAUCAGAGGUGCAACGCUGUUGUUCAGAGCAAUAAUCUCUGUGCAUCAAAACAAUGCGAACUAUGUCCAAUACAUCAGGCAAAUAAAAAAAAAUGGGGAAUGUGAUUUUAUUAAAUUACCAUAAGUUAUGAGCCAUAUUUUUUCAAUUCUAAAAAAUUAAAUUCACUUUUAAUUUUAAUGGUUUAAAUUGGGAAGCUUCUUUCAAUUGAUGCCAAAAUAUAAUUGAUGUCAAAAGAAGCCUAUAUGCCUUUGGGCAGUGAAAGAAAUUGUAAAGUGAUUGUCAUUUCUUUUUCCUUUUUUUAAAAAAAAGAUUUUAUUUAUUUAUUUGACAGACAAAGAAUCACAAGUAGGCAGAGAGGCAGGCAGAGAGAGAGGAGGAAGCAGGCUCCCUGCUGAGCAGAGAGCAGAUGCUGGGCUCCAUCCCAGGACCCUGAGAUCAUGACCUGAGCUGAAGGCAGAGGCUUUAACCCACUGAGCCACCCAGGUGCCCCAAGUCAUUAUCAUUUCUGAGCUUAUAGUAUCAUGGCCAAGAAUUAAAGGCAUCUGUUCUUCUGACUCCUGUUUCAUCUGACUUCCACAUGAGAAGAGUUAUUUGCCUUUGUACCACUAGAGCUGUUUGAAUUUUAAAUUGGACUUGUAUAUGUUAUUUAAAAUGUCCUCAGAAAAAAAAAUAUAACCUUUGGGAGCAUGGGAAUGAAAGUUUCUACAAACCCAGAUGAUCACUUGUCUUUUGUCAUCCAGUAUGAUUCAAGACAAUAGUAUUGCCAAAUCACUUGGAACUGAUCAGAGACUUUUCAGAACUAGACAAGAUUUGGGGGGCUAGUUUUUGAGUCCUGAGGACUAUCAGUCAUAUAAUUAAGAGCCAAACAAAAACAAAGCAAGUAACUAAGAGUUUAACCAAAUGGAGAAUGAGAGAAGAAAUGGAGAAAAUGGAGAAGUGAAUGGAGAAGAAAUUCUAGGGUCAUCUGAUGUGUUUCACAAUUAUACUGCUGUUCCUGAAGGUGCUGAACAGAUUAGAAUCAGGUGUACUGGUAAUCUCUGU